rnacentral:rRNA from 1 species
UACAGAGGUCUCAAGCGUUGUUCGGAAUCACUGGGCGUAAAGGGUGCGUAGGCGGCACGGUAAGUCAGAUGUGAAAUCCCGGAGCUCAACUUCGGAAUUGCAUCCGAUACUGCCGUGCUUGAGGGCUGGAGAGGAGUCUGGAAUUCAUGGUGGAGCAGUGAAAUGCGUAGAUAUCAUGAGGAACGCUAGUGGCGUAGGCGAGACUCUGGACAGCAUCUGACGCUGAGGCACGAAGGCCAGGGGAGCAAACGGG